CUGAAUUGGAAAAUUUUUUCAAAAAUUAUUUUUUAAUCUAGAAUUUUCAAGAAAAUGAUAUUCAUUCUAUUCCUAUGUAUAUUAGUUAAUAUUAUGGCCCAUCCAAGAGUUAUAACGACCGAAUAUAGAAAACUAUGUUGGGGGAACCUAUAUGAUGAAUAUCCUGAUGAAUUCAAUAUAUACAUUGGUAGAGAAGAAUUAUUGUUCAACGAAAUAUAUCUUAUUAGAAAUAACAAUUCAGUAAUGUCCUAUAUCGAAGGGAGUGAUAGGGAGUUAGAUACAUAUUCAACAAAUAAUAUCACCAAUAAAACGUUGAUUUUAUUUGAGAAGAUUCAGUUAAAGAACUUAAUAAAGUUGAAACAACUCAAUCUAACAUUCAAAAUUAAAGCUUAUAUCGAGAUUGGUUUGAAUAGCUAUGGCGCUAAGUUUAAACUAUGUAUGUUACCCUUAAAUAGUAGUAUAUCAUAUAUAUGUUUGGAAUUCAUAAACGCAAACGUUAGAAUUAGAAUUGACAAUCAGAAUGUAUCGGUGUUAGUAAUACAUCAGUCGUACAAAAGUUCAACCACAUAUCACAAUCAUAUAGUAUACUACUUCUCAUGGAUCCUACCAAAUAAAAAUUAUUAUCAAUAUCAUUAUACUGGUGGAAUAUAUAAAAUA